GGAAAAAUGACUUAAUCCAUUUUAGAAUAAGGCUGUAUCGUACCAAAUGUGGAAAAAGUGAAGGGGUCUGAAUACUUUCCGAAUGCACUACACACACACACACACACACACACACACACACACACACACACACACACAGCAGCUUGUGUUGCUGUACCCACCUCUGUGUGUUUGUGCCUUAUUACUGUUCACACACAGACAGUUUCAGUGUUUGUGUCAAUAUUUAAUGAGUGACGGGAGUCUGGGGACCCCACAGCUGUCAGGAGUCUGUCUGGAACUACCACCUGUUCCCAAAUCCCCAAACACACACACUAACUAAUAAACCAUGUUCUCUCAACACUGUGGGGAAUUGGGGAUGCUGUGGCAACAUUGUCCAUGCUACAUACCUGUAAACAGGUGUGUGGUAUAGACUGGUCCAAAUUUGAUUCACAAACUAUGGAUGUCAUUGAAUUCUAUUGUGAUGGAGUUGAAAAACUGCAUACAGAACAACUGGAUCCAGUGAGUGAUUCUUAGUGAUUUUCCUGAUUGAGCUGCACUCGCUGGUCUGUUUCUAUGCCGACCAUCCUUUCGAGCCACCUUGUGUAUCAGAAUGAGAUGUACUGUAACCACACGAAUACAAAACCAAGGAGCCCAAAAUGUACCUUUAAAAAAAAAAAAAGAACUUUAAUUCAAACAAAAAAAGAUUAUAAAACAGUGAUUUUAGUUACAUAAAUAAAUUGAUAUCGGUGUAUCAAAUCUUCAUUUCAUAAGCAUGUAUACAUGGAUCAUUAUAAUAAAUAAAGUGGGAAAACAGAAGAUUCCAUUUCCUACAGGAACAGAAGAAAAGAAACAGCUAGAGAAAGAGGAAAUGCAUUCAUUAGAGGACGAGACACACAGGACAAAGUUUUCCACCAAACACACGAGGAAAUGCUUCGUUAAAAGCACAGUGUUUACAGAGCCAUUCAGUUACUAAUUAAGGACACUAAAGCUGGGACCAAGGUGGCUUGGCUUUCACUUCUUGGAACAUGUUUGGUUGUUAGAACUCCUGUUUGGUUACUUCAAAACAAGGCAAGAGAGAAGGCUGUUUAUUCUUUAAAGAACAAAAGAGAAAGCACUUCAACAAAAACCAGAAAAAUAAAGAAACAAGACAAGUUAUUAGUACAAUAGCCGGACCUCGUACAGGAAGACACACACACUGGUCUGGUCUGUGGCGUGUUCAGAAGCAAGCGGACAUUUCAGCGGAACACAACUCUUGUCCUGAAGGGUGACAGCCCUGCUGGUUUUAAUAGAUCAGUUAGUAUCACUGACUGACCUAGCUUUCACACCACUGAUUAGCCAGAUAUAACUCUAAAGUCUGGGAUUACCAGAUAAGGAAGAGAACCAGCAGACCCCGUGGCCUUCGAGGACCAGAGUUAUACACAACUGGAUGUUGGUCAUUUCUCAACAGCUGAUCAGUGUUAUGAUGCCACGUAAUGAAAAAUCAAUGCUCGGGUUAUCAUAUGACAUUUCAAUGGAAUACUGUACAUCAGUCAAAUACAUACAUCUGUUCAUUGUGAAAAGUAACCCUAGAGAGAACAAGAUAAUAUUUUCACUGUGCUCCAAUACCUUGAAGACACCAAAUCAAACUGUUGAUAGCAGUUCAAUAAUCUGAACCAAUGUCUUAGUACUGACACUACCCUUGUGAGCCUACAGUAACCCUCCAUUAGCAAGGCCAAUGUGAUGUGUUCUGUGGUAAAAAAAAAUGACAUUGAAAGAAAAAACACUAAGAGAAAAAGAGCAAGCUACAGCGGCUUCAAGUAUUUCACAUCACAUAGAAUACUCUGUAUAAAUUAGUUAACAUAUACUUUUGAAUCCUCCAUACACAGUACAAUACAUGCUUGCUCAUAUCAUUGUUUCCUGUACUCAUUCCUUCUUCCUGUUAGUUUUAGAGAAAUCCCUGAGAACGUCUUUUGACAGUUGCUGAAGGUUAUACACAUAGAAUAGGCCUAUUAAAACUGUAUUAUAAUGGAAUUCUAAUUAUCCUAUGGUUCCACAUGCACAGAAGUAUUGACACUGGCCCAUUCUGGAGCUACACUCACCGAUUCUACCGAUGUGGGAUCCUAAUUUGAGCCUGUUUGCUACAGUAGGAAAAUAAUCCUGCAGCAACAGGAAAUUUGAACUAUGUAUAAAAUAAAUUGACAUUUUUGUAGGAGUUGAUACAUUUUUCGUAAGGGAAAAUCAAGUCAGAAAUUGUGGAAAAGUGGAAAUGAAACCACUUUAAACAUCAAAAUAAAAGUAAAACAUUCUGUAUUGCAGGUGAUCCAAUUAAGAUCCUACAUCUGUACAACUAGAACCCUGGUAACUUUGGCACUGUAAUUAGUUACCCAGCCUGUAUUCUUGUGAACACAGAAACAGCCAGGUCACCAGGUUAGUUUUGUGAAUACAUAAACAGUCAGGUAACCCGGCUAGUCUUGUGAAGGUUAGUCUUGUGAAUACAGAAACAGUCAGGUAACCCGGCUAGUCUUGUGAAGGUUAGUUUUGUGAAUACAGAAACAGUCAGGUAACCCGGUUAGUCUUGUGAAUACAGAAACAGUCAGGUAACCCAGCUAGUCUUGUGAAGGUUAGUCUUGUGAAUACAGAAACAGUCAGGUAACCCGGUUAGUCUUGUGAAUACAGAAACAGUCAGGUAACCCGGCUAGUCUUGUGAAGGUUAGUCUUGUGAAUACAGAAACAGUCAGGUAACCCGGCUAGUCUUGUGAAGGUUAGUUUUGUGAAUACAUAAACAGUCAGGUAACCCGGCUAGUCUUGUGAAGGUUAGUCUUGUGAAUACAGAAACAGUCAGGUAACCCGGCUAGUCUUCUGAAGGUUAGUCUUGUGAAGGUUAGUCUUGUGAAGGUUGGUCUUGUGAAUACAGAAACAGUCAGGUAACCCGGCUAGUCUCCAGCAACUGUUCAUCCUAACACUUGAACCAGUAACUAACCCACAAUUACAGGUUUGUUGGUUUUAAGUACAUUGUGCACUGUAAAAAAAAUAUAUAUAUAUAUCCUGUUGUUUUUACGGUAACUUACUGGCAGCCAGUUAGUUACCUGUAAGUUACUGUAAAAAAGGUUACCAUAAAUUCCAAAGAAACUUUUGUUUAACGGUACAUUACUCUAAACUUUACUGUAAACAUGAUUUGUUGUUACAGUGUGGGAUAUUUCUGGCAUAAUACACCAAAUGCUGGUACUCUUGAUAAUACUCCAUAUCCUCAUCUUAUGGCCCAUGUGCCAUUACUGUAGUCCUGCAUUGUUGUCCUUAAUCUAACACAGAUAGUUAUGAUUACUGCAUCUGAAACAACACCAGUCUGUUAAGACUAUUUUUCCAAAACUAGAAUCUAACUAAUACCUAUGACACAGAGAAAACACAAGUGACGAGUCAACAGAAAUAUUAAAUGGUGGUUUUCUCAUGGAGCCGAGCUGUACAGUGCUUCCAAUAGUCAGGUCUGUGUAGUUUUAAAGCCAUAGUGUCUCUUUGAGGCUGCCAAUGUGUUUUUACACAAGUGCUUUCGGACAAGGGACUUUAAGCCACUUGACAUAUACUCAGUAUAAAACCAAGAUAUAAAACAGGGGGAUGCUAAUAAUAAUAAACGUUUCUGUUAUCUGCUUUUUCCUCUCGCACACACAUGGAAAAACACACGCAACAUUUCCUCUUCUGAAAAUAAAACACACAUAGUACUGUACACAGUAAUAAUAAUAAUGGUAAUGUUUAUAACAAUAACAGCAAGAAUGAUAAUACUGUGUGGCUCUGGAAUUAUUUUUUUCCUUCUUCUUUUGCUUUGUCCUCCAACUCCUUACUUGUCCAUGUUUAAGUCCAAAGAAGUUCAAAAGGCAGACUGAAGUUAAUAUAAAAGUACUAGGAGCCGACCCCGGUCAGCCGAACCUCCCCCUCGGGGCCGACCCCGGUCAGCCGAACCUCCCCCCCGGGGCCGACCCCGGUCAGCCGAACCUCCCCCCCGGGGCCGACCCCGG
ensembl:lncRNA